rnacentral:rRNA from 1 species
GACGAACGCUGGCGGCGUGCUUAACACAUGCAAGUCGAACGGAAAGGCCUGCUUUCCCUUGUGGAUUGCGGGUACUCGAGUGGCGAACGGGUGAGUAACACGUGAGUGAUCUGCCCCCAACUUGGGUAUAAGCCUGGGAAACUGGGUCUAAUUCCCGAUAGGACUGCAGGGUGGUGCCUGUGGUGGAAAACGAUUUUCUAGUGGUUGGGGAUGAGCUCGCGGCCUAUCAGCUUGUUGGUGGGGUAAUGGCCUACCAAGGCGGCGACGGGUAGCCGGCCUGAGAGGGUGGACGGCCACAUUGGGACUGAGAUACGGCCAGACGCCUACGGGAGGCAGCAGUGGGGAAUAUUGCACAAUGGGCGGAAGCCUGAUGCAGCGACGCCGCGUGGGGGAUGACGGCCUUCGGGUGGUAAACUCCUUUCGACCGCGAGGAAGCCACCUGGUUGGAAGGGUGGUGACGGUAGUGGUAGAAGAAGCACCGGCUAACUACGUG